rnacentral:rRNA from 1 species
GUGGGGAAUAUUGGACAAUGGGCGAAAGCCUGAUCCAGCCAUGCCGCGUGUGUGAAGAAGGUCUUCGGAUUGUAAAGCACUUUAAGUUGGGAGGAAGGGCAGUAAGUUAAUACCUUGCUGUUUUGACGUUACCGACAGAAUAAGCACCGGCUAACUUCGUGCCAGCAGCCGCGGUAAUACGAAGGGUGCAAGCGUUAAUCGGAAUUACUGGGCGUAAAGCGCGCGUAGGUGGUUUUGUAAGUUGGAGGUGAAAUCCCCGGGCUCAACCUGGGAACUGCCUCCAAAACUGCAUGACUAGAGUACGGUAGAGGGUAGUGGAAGUUCCUGUGUAGCGGUGAAAUGCGUAGAUAUAGGAAGGAACACCAGUGGCGAAGGCGACCACCUGGACUGAUACUGACACUGAGGUGCGAAAGCGUGGGGAGCAAACAGGAUUAGAAACCCUGGUAGUCC